AAACAGCCCCCUAUGUUUUGAUUAUUUGGCAGUUUUGGACCCCCAAGGUAAAAAAAAUAAAAAAUAUUGACACGUGGCACCUCACUUAGGGUGCCACGUCAGCGUUGACCGAGUCAACAAUGGAGUGGGGGUUCAAAACUGCCAAAGAAUCAAAACAUAGGGGGCUGUUU
rfam:Medicago truncatula strain A17 chromosome 4, whole genome shotgun sequence.